CAGAGUUGCAAGACUCCCUAAACCAUUGUGAACCUUACCUUCUACCGUUGCUUCGGCGGGCGGCCCGGGUCCUGCCCGGCGCCCCUCGGCCCUCGCGGGCACCCGCCGGAGGUAAACCAAACUAUUGCAUUGUAUGGCCUCUCUGAGUCUUCUGUACUGAAUAAGUCA
rnacentral:misc_RNA from 1 species